UACGUAGGUGGCAAGCGUUGUCCGGAUUUACUGGGUGUAAAGGGCGUGUAGGCGGGUUAUCAAGUCAGAUGUGAAAUUCUGUGGCUCAACCACAGAGCUGCAUCUGAAACUGAUGAUCUUGAGUACUGGAGAGGGAAGCGGAAUUCCUAGUGUAGCGGUGAAAUGCGUAGAUAUUAGGAGGAACAUCAGUGGCGAAGGCGGCUUUCUGGACAGUAACUGACGCUGAGGCGCGAAAGCGUGGGGAGCAAACAGG
rnacentral:rRNA from 1 species